ensembl:misc_RNA Metazoa_SRP Metazoan signal recognition particle RNA
UCCCAGCUCGAUGGUAAGCCCUGAGUCCCAGCUACCGAGAGGGACCGUCGCUUGAGCCCAGGAGUUCUGGGCUGUGAUGCACUAUGCUGAUGGGUAUCCACACCAAGUUCAGCAUGAUAUGGUGACCUCCUUGGAGUGGGGGACUGCCAGGUUGACUAAGGAAGGGUGAACUGGCCCAGGUCAGAAUGGAACAGAUUGAAACUCUGGUCCUGAUCAUAGUGGAAUUGGGCAUUCCAGCCUGGACAACAUAAGGACAACGUU